GCCGCAGCCGUGCCGCCCCCGCGAGUGAACACUGAGUGAACCAGAGUGACAGUGCGCCAAGCUAACCAUGGGGACCGUGGAGGAGACGUACGAGUCCGAGGUGCGGCGGAAAGUUACCCGCACCAGCUACAAGAUCCAGGAGGACAUGACCGACGAGGAGGUAAGGCGCAAGCUUUUCGCCGCCUAUGUCAGGAAGGCGAGCAUGGCCGGCCUCAACGGAGUCAACGGCGAGAACGGACGCAGAACAUCGUCGACCACCACCACCACUACUAUGACCACUCAGGCUGCCAAAUUAUAUGGCAAGGACCUGUCUGUCUACGAUGAUUUGGAUGUAGACACAUUGCUCUCGCAACUCAGCCCAGAAGAAAUAUCUCUUCUGGCCAAGGAAGUCGAUCCAGAUGACAACCUCCUUCCACCAUCUCAGAGGUGCAGCUAUGAGUGUGAGAAAGAACCCACUGGUCCUCUCGACCGAAAGAAACUCAUUGAGCACAUUAAUAAGCAAGCCUUGGAAACACCUGACCGGCCCGAGGCGAAGCCGUUUGUCGCUGGUGUUAUUCGUGGAAAGAAGUGGGAACCACCAGAACAGUCUGAAAAAGAACGUGAAGCAGAUGAGCAAAUCGCUAUUGAUAUGGGAGAUGAAUAUGAGCACGCUCUAAAUGAUGCUACCCAAGAGGAAAUCAUUGACUUGGCAGCUAUUUUGGGCUUCCACUCCAUGAUGAAUCAAGAUCAAUACCAUGCCUCACUCCUGAACAAGGGUCAACCCAUUGGUCUUGGUUGGGAUGGUGUCACAAAGGCAACACAGCCAAAAGCAUACCCUGCAGAGCCACCAAACUUGACAGACAUUGACAAAACCAUUCGACAAGUUCAGGAAGAUGACCACACCCUUACAGACCUUAACUGGAACAAUAUAAAGAAUAUUUCUGAUGAGAAGUUUGAAAGCCUGUUCGAAGCCCUGCCUGAAAACACUCAUUUGGAAGUUUUGAAUCUAACGAACGUAGGUUUGACUGACCGAGUCGCUCUGAAGCUUGCUGAGGCUUUGGAGAGAAAUCAGACUCUUCGAGUUCUGAACAUGGAAACUAACUUUGUCAGCCCUCCAGUAAUUGUUAAGAUAGUGAAGGCACUGCUCAAAUCACGCACCAUUGAGGAACUCCGGGCUGCUAAUCAGCGGUCACAAGUUUUGGGAAACAAGAUUGAAAUGGAAAUUACCCAACUUGUUGAAGCUAACCCAUCACUUCUUCGGCUUGGACUACAUCUCGAGUACAACGAUGCUCGUCACCGUGUUGCAUCCCAUCUCCAGCGUAACAUAGAUAGGAUACGGAAAGACCUCAAUCUGCAACUUCAAUUCCGUUUCUUUAAUAAUCGCCACAGGAAAAACAAGCAAAUGAUCAAGUAAAAUGGAGUACGUCAAUCUCGUGUGGGAGUGUCCAGCUCAUAGCAAGAUGAACGGAAAUUUAGCUGGACGCUGUCGCCGCAUGGGCCACUUCUCUGCAAGCCAGACCGUGGGCUGGAUUAGAGACAACAAGUUUUAGCAUGC
rnacentral:misc_RNA from 1 species